rnacentral:lncRNA from 1 species
CUUGCAUCCUGCAGCAGUACUCACUGGAACAGACAACAAAAGUGCCACCCUGCCUGAGUCCGUGUUAGAUCCCAUGGCCUAUCCCAUGCUUACAUUCAUGAUGUAGUUUAGUGACUCAGUGUAAGCAAGUGACUUGUGUGGCAUGCUGGCUAGUUUUAUGUUGUCUUGACACAGCUAAAGUCACUUUAGAGACGAGAACCUCAGUUGGGAAAAUGCUUCCACCAGAUUGGCCUAUGGGAAAGCCAGUAGUGGAUUUUCUUGGUUGAUGAUUGAUGUAGGAGGGUCCAACCCAUUGUGGGUAGAGCCAGCCCUGGGCUGGUGGUUGUGGUUUCUAUAAGAAAGCAGGCUAAGCAAGCCCUGGGGAACAAACCAAUAAGCAGCAAGUUACUACAUGGGCUCUGCAUCAGCUUCUGCGCCAGCUUCCUGUCCUGCCUAAGUUUCUGCCCUAACCCCCUUUGAUGAUGGCGUGUGAUAUAGAACUGUAUGCUGGGGCUGGACAAUGAUAGGUCAGCCAUUAAAGGCUAGACUCACAACCAAAAAUAUAAAAACUGUAUGCUGAAAUAAACCCUUUAUUUUCCAAGUA